rnacentral:rRNA from 1 species
AUUGAACGCUGGCGGCAGGCCUAACACAUGCAAGUCGAGCGGAUGAUGGAAGCUUGCUUCCUGAUUCAGCGGCGGACGGGUGAGUAAUGCCUAGGAAUCUGCCUAUUAGUGGGGGACAACGUUUCGAAAGGAACGCUAAUACCGCAUACGUCCUACGGGAGAAAGUGGGGGCUCUUCGGACCUCACGCUAAUAGAUGAGCCUAGGUCGGAUUAGCUAGUUGGUGAGGUAAUGGCUCACCAAGGCAACGAUCCGUAGCUGGUCUGAGAGGAUGAUCGGCCACACUGGAACGGAGACACGGUCCAGACUCCUACGGGAGGCAGCAGUGGGGAAUAUUGGACAAUGGGCGAAAGCCUGAUCCAGCCAUGCCGCGUGUGUGAAGAAGGUCUUCGGAUUGUAAAGCACUUUAAGUUGGGAGGAAGGAUUGUUAGCUAAUAUCUAGCAGUUUUGACGUUACCAACAGAAUAAGCACCGGCUAACUCUGUGCCAGCAGCCGCAGUAA